rnacentral:miRNA from 1 species
CAAUGCCCCUGCAGUGCAAU